rnacentral:rRNA from 1 species
AUAUUGUACGAUGGGGGCAACCCUGAUUCAGCCAUGCCGCGUGUGUGAAGAAGGCCUUUGGUUUUUAUAUCACUUUAUGUUGGGAGGAAGGGCUUUAGGUUAAUACUCUGAAGCUAUGACGUGACGAACAGAAUAAGCACCGGCUAACUCUGUGCUAGUAGCCGCGGUAAUACAGAGGGUGCAAGCGUUAAUCGGAAUUACUGUGCGUAAAGCGCGCGUAGGUGGUUCAGUAAGAUGGAUGUGAAAUCCCCGGGCUUAAACUGGGAACUGCUUUCAUAACUGCUGAGCUAGAGUACGGUAGAGGGUAGUGGAAUUUCCUGUGUAGCGGUUAAAUGCAUAGAUAUAGGAAGGAACACCGGUGGCGAAGGCGACUACCUGGACUGAUACUGACACUGAGGUGCGAAAGCGUGGGGAGCAAA